rnacentral:rRNA from 1 species
GACGAACGCUGGCGGCGUGCUUAACACAUGCAAGUCGAACGGAAAGGCCCUGCUUUUGUGGGGUGCUCGAGUGGCGAACGGGUGAGUAACACGUGAGUAACCUGCCCUUGACUUUGGGAUAACUUCAGGAAACUGGGGCUAAUACCGGAUAGGAGCUCCUGCUGCAUGGUGGGGGUUGGACAGUUUCGGCGGUUGGGGAUGGACUCGCGGCUUAUCAGCUUGUUGGUGGGGUAGUGGCUUACCAAGGCUUUGACGGGUAGCCGGCCUGAGAGGGUGACCGGCCACAUGGGGACUGAGAUACGGCCCAGACUCCUACAGGAGGCAGCAGUGGGAAAUAUUGCACAAUGAGCGGAAGCCUGAUGCAGCAACGCCGCGUGCGGGAUGACGGCCUUCGGGUUGUAAACCGCUUUCGCCUGUGACGAAGCGUGAGUGACGGUAAUGGGUAAAGAAGCACCGGCUAACUACGUG